AUUGAACGCUGGCGGCAUGCUCUACACAUGCAAGUCGAACGGUAACAGGUUAAGCUGACGAGUGGCGAACGGGUGAGUAAUGCAUCGGAACGUGCCCGGUCGUGGGGGAUAACGCAGCGAAAGCUGCGCUAAUACCGCAUACGAUCUGAGGAUGAAAGCGGGGGACCGUAAGGCCUCGCGCGAUCGGAGCGGCCGAUGUCAGAUUAGGUAGUUGGUGGGGUAAAGGCUCACCAAGCCAACGAUCUGUAGCUGGUCUGAGAGGACGACCAGCCACACUGGAAAUGAGACACGGCCCAGACUCCUACGGGAGGCAGCAGUGGGGAGUUUUGGACAAUGGGCGAAAGCAUGAUCCAGCAAUGCCGCGUGCAGGAAGAAGGCCUUCGGGUUGUAAACUGCUUUUGUACGGAGCGAAAAGGUCUCCUCUAAUACAGGGGGCUCAUGACGGUACCGUAAGAAUAAGCACCGGCUAACUACGUGCCAGCCGCCGCCGUAA
rnacentral:rRNA from 1 species